AGCAGCCGCGGUAAUUCCAGCUCCAAUAGCGUAUAUUAAAGUUGCUGCAGUUAAAAAGCUCGUAGUUGAAUUUCGGGACCAUCAUGUCGGUCGUGCCUCGGUACGUACUGGCAUUGUUGGUUUCUACCUUCUGACGAACCAUGAUGUCAUUUAUUUGGUGUCGUGGGAAAUCAGGACUGUUACUUUGAAAAAUUAGAGUGUUUAAAGCAGGCUCACGCUUGAAUACAUUAGCAUGGAAUAAUGAAAUAGGACGUUUGAUUCUAUUUUGUUGGUUUCUAGGAUCGACGUAAUGAUUAAUAGGGAUAGUUGGGGGCAUUAGUAUUCAAUUGUCAGAGGUGAAAUUCUUGGAUUUAUUGAAGACUAACUACUGCGAAAGCAUUUGCCAAGGAUGUUUUCAUUAAUCAAGAACGAAAGUUAGGGGAUCGAAGACGAUCAGAUACCGUCGUAGUCUUAACCAUAAACUAUGCCGACUA
rnacentral:rRNA from 1 species